UUUAUGGAGAGUUUGAUCCUGGCUCAGGAUGAACGCUGGCGGCGUGCCUAAUACAUGCAAGUCGAGCGAACAGACGAGGAGCUUGCUCCUUUGACGUUAGCGGCGGACGGGUGAGUAACACGUGGGUAACCUACCUAUAAGACUGGGAUAACUUCGGGAAACCGGAGCUAAUACCGGAUAAUAUUUCGAACCGCAUGGUUCGAUAGUGAAAGAUGGCUUUGCUAUCACUUAUAGAUGGACCUGCGCCGUAUUAGCUAGUUGGUAAGGUAACGGCUUACCAAGGCAACGAUACGUAGCCGACCUGAGAGGGUGAUCGGCCACACUGGAACUGAGACACGGU
rnacentral:rRNA from 1 species